AACGAACGCUGGCGGCGUGCCUAACACAUGCAAGUCGAACGUGAUCGGAAGCGUGCUUCCAUGAAAGUGGCGCACGGGUGAGUAACGCGUAGAGAAUCUACCUGAUGGAUCGGGAAAAACUUUAGAAAGGGGUGCUAAUACCGGAUAUGCUAACGGAGGCUUUGGACAGUGCGGGAAAAGGGGGGAACCUACGGGCCUUCCGCCUGCAGAGUAGUCUGCGUACCAUUAGUUAGUUGGUAGGGUAAAGGUCUACCAAGGCGACGAUGGUUAGAGGGUCUGAGAGGAUGAUCAGCCACACUGGAACUGAGACACGGUCCAGACUCCUACGGGAGGCAGCAGUGGGGAAUUUUGCGCAAUGGGGGAAACCCUGACGCAGCAACGCCGCGUGAGUGAUGAAGGCCCUUGGGUCGUAAAGCUCUGACAGAGGGAAAGAAAUGUGGGUGGCUAAUAUCCAUACCACUUGACGGUACCCUCAAAGGAAGCACCGGCUAACUCCGUGCCAGCAGCCGCAGUAAGAC
rnacentral:rRNA from 1 species